CCCUGACAGUCGCAUUGGGCGACUGACACUAGCCAAGACAGGAGAUUCGCAUG
ncrna:unclassified sequences Mu-gpT-DE RNA